ensembl:lncRNA
CAUCAAGGUUGUUCCAGUUUUCUCCAUGCCCCCCUGCCGAUUCUGCUGUGAAACCAGAUGUGAGCCCCAGGGCCUCGGGGAGAGCCAGAAACCCCACGUCCGCCGUCGCUGGCAGUUAUCGACCAGCUGCUCAACAAACACCAUGCUGACUGAAGCCUCUAUUGAGAAGAUUGUACUCUACAUCAUGGAAAAGCAGCAGCAGCAACAUAAACCGCAACAGGAACAACAACAACCGGGGCAAAAGAAGGGACACACGAAAGACAAAGUUCUUUCAGCUAGAACUGGAUGCCACACAGAAAAGGGAGGCAGAGAAAGGACAGCAGAAGAGGAAGAGAACUGAUUGCCAGUCCACAGGUCGCAAGUGUCGGUUCUGUAAGAUGUAACUGAAGCAGGGCCCAAACAGUCGUCACAUUCACACUGGGUUCCCUGGAGUAACAGGGAAGUACAUUUUCUGCAUCUUUUCACUAUACAAAGAUCAGGGCAUGGACAAGGAAAUGACGCGGAGAGAGCUCCAGGGGUGUCCUUUCUUUGAGAAAGAAAAACAGAGAUGUGAGGCUGAAAGGAGGAAAGAA